AUAGUAAGAAGUGCCAUUCUCCCACAUAUAUCUUAGAGAAAAAUAUGGCCAUUUGGAUCAAUUCCAAUAUGAAAAAAUAUCAGUAUACGAUAGCUUCACUGGUGGAAUUCAUUAAAUGACUUAGGCAAGCAACUUUACCAGAGAACCCAGUGUUUGUAACCAUGGACUUUAAAAAACUUUACUCUUCACUAAAAAUCGAACCAACAUGCCUUUGCCUCUACAGGUUCCUAUUGCAACACUUACCAACGUGGACGUACAACCCAAAAAUAUGUAGAGAAUUAGCAGAAUUAUUAUGCCAUAAUUCAUAUUACAGGUACAAAGGAAAUUUUUAUAAACAAACACAUGGUGUACCUAUAGGAAGCCCAAUGGCGGGAGUACUGGUGGAGUUAGUACUC
rnacentral:lncRNA from 1 species